rnacentral:rRNA from 1 species
GACGGACGCUGGCGGCGUGGAUUAGGCAUGCAAGUCGAACGGUAGGAUACCUUCGGGUAUCUGAGAGUGGCGAACGGGUGAGUAACACGUAGGUGAUCUACCCUCAAGAUUGGGACAACCCAGGGAAACUUGGGCUAAUACCGGAUGAAAGCAGCAGUGAUGUUGUUUGAAAGGUGGCGUAAGCUGCCGUUUGGGGAUGAGCCUGCGCUCUAUUAGUUAGUUGGCGGGGUAAAGCCCACCAAGGCGAUGAUAGAUAGGCGGCCUUAACGGGUGGUCGCCCACACUGGGAUUGAGAUACGGCCCAGACUCCUACGGGAGGCAGCAGUCGAGAAUAGUCUACAAUGGCCGAAAGGCUGAUAGUGCGACGCCGCGUGAACGAAGAAGCCCUUCGGGGUGUAAAGUUCUUUUAUAUGUGAGCAGUGCUUUCUAUGUGAACAGCAUGGGGAGAGAGAUAUUAGCAAUAUGAAUAAGCAACGGCUAACUCGUGCCAGC